rnacentral:rRNA from 2 species
AGAGUUUUGAAUAUGGCUCAGGACGAACGCUGGCGGCGUGCCUAAUACAUGCAAGUCGAGCGGACAGAUGGGAGCUUGCUCCCUGAUGUUAGCGGCGGACGGGUGAGUAACACGUGGGUAACCUGCCUGUAAGACUGGGAUAACUCCGGGAAACCGGGGCUAAUACCGGAUGGUUGUUUGAACCGCAUGGUUCAAACAUAAAAGGUGGCUUCGGCUACCACUUACAGAUGGACCCGCGGCGCAUUAGCUAGUUGGUGAGGUAACGGCUCACCAAGGCGACGAUGCGUAGCCGACCUGAGAGGGUGAUCGGCCACACUGGGACUGAGACACGGCCCAGACUCCUACGGGAGGCAGCAGUAGGGAAUCUUCCGCAAUGGACGAAAGUCUGACGGAGCAACGCCGCGUGAGUGAUGAAGGUUUUCGGAUCGUAAAGCUCUGUUGUUAGGGAAGAACAAGUACCGUUCGAAUAGGGCGGUACCUUGACGGUACCUAACCAGAAAGCCACGGCUAACUACGUGCCAGCAGCCGCGGUAAUACGUAGGUGGCAAGCGUUGUCCGGAAUUAUUGGGCGUAAAGGGCUCGCAGGCGGUUUCUUAAGUCUGAUGUGAAAGCCCCCGGCUCAACCGGGGAGGGUCAUUGGAAACUGGGGAACUUGAGUGCAGAAGAGGAGAGUGGAAUUCCACGUGUAGCGGUGAAAUGCGUAGAGAUGUGGAGGAACACCAGUGGCGAAGGCGACUCUCUGGUCUGUAACUGACGCUGAGGAGCGAAAGCGUGGGGAGCGAACAGGAUUAGAUACCCUGGUAGUCCACGCCGUAAACGAUGAGUGCUAAAUGUUAGGGGGUUUCCGCCCCUUAGUGCUGCAUGCUAACGCAUUAAGCA